UCCAGGGGAAUAAAAUUUGUACGUGUACGGAAUUGAAGGUACCCUGGGAAUAAGCAUCGGCUAACUCCGUGCCAGCAGCCGCGGUAAUACGGAGGAUGCAAGCGUUAUCCGGGACUUAUUGGGUUUAAAGGGUGCGCAGGCGGGAAAAUAAGUCAGUGGUGAAAUCCUGCAGCUUAACUGUAGAAUUGCCGUUGAUACUGUUUUUCUUGAGUGUGGUCAAGGAAGGCGGAAUGUGUAAUGUAGCGGUGAAAUGCUUAGAUAUUACACAGAACACCAAUUGCGAAGGCAGCUUUCUGGGCCGUAACUGACGCUCAUGCACGAAAGCGUGGGGAUCGAACAGGAUUAGAUACCCUGGUAGUCCACGCCGUAAACGAUGAUCACUCGCUGUUGGCGAUAUACAGUCAGCGGCAAAGCAAAAGCAUUAAGUGAUCCACCUGGGGAGUACGGCCGCAAGGCUGAAACUCAAAGGAAUUGACGGGGGCCCGCACAAGCGGAGGAACAUGUGGUUUAAUUCGAUGGUACGCGAGGAACCUUACCUGGGCUUAAAUGUAGAGUGCAUUUCACCGAAAGGUGGAUUUUCUUCGGAACUCUCUGCAAGGUGCUGCAUGGUUGUCGUCAGCUCGUGCCGUGAGGUGUCGGGUUAAGUCCCAUAACGAGCGCAACCCUUAUCGUUAGUUGCCAGCGGGUAAUGCCGGGAACUCUAACGAAACUGCCGGUGUAAACCGUGAGGAAGGUGGGGAUGACGUCAAAUCAGCACGGCCCUUAUGUCCAGGGCUACACACGUGUUACAAUGGCCGGUACAGAGGGCAGCUACCUGGAGACAGGAUGCGAAUCUCCAAAACCGGUCUCAGUUCGGAUCGAAGUCUGCAACUCGACUUCGUGAAGCUGGAUUCGCUAGUAAUCGCGCAUCAGCCAUGGCGCGGUGAAUACGUUCCCGGGCCUUGUACACACCGCCCGU
rnacentral:rRNA from 1 species